GUGCUUAUACAUGCAGUCGAACGAACUCUGGUAUUGAUUGGUGCUUGCAUCAUGAUUUACAUUUGAGUGAGUGGCGAACUGGUGAGUAACACGUGGGAAACCUGCCCAGAAGCGGGGGAUAACACCUGGAAACAGAUGCUAAUACCGCAUAACAACUUGGACCGCAUGGUCCGAGUUUGAAAGAUGGCUUCGGCUAUCACUUUUGGAUGGUCCCGCGGCGUAUUAGCUAGAUGGUGAGGUAACGGCUCACCAUGGCAAUGAUACGUAGCCGACCUGAGAGGGUAAUCGGCCACAUUGGGACUGAGACACGGCCCAAACUCCUACGGGAGGCAGCAGUAGGGAAUCUUCCACAAUGGACGAAAGUCUGAUGGAGCAACGCCGCGUGAGUGAAGAAGGGUUUCGGCUCGUAAAACUCUGUUGUUAAAGAAGAACAUAUCUGAGAGUAACUGUUCAGGUAUUGACGGUAUUUAACCAGAAAGCCACGGCUAACUACGUGCCAGCAGCCGCGGUAAUACGUAGGUGGCAAGCGUUGUCCGGAUUUAUUGGGCGUAAAGCGAGCGCAGGCGGUUUUUUAAGUCUGAUGUGAAAGCCUUCGGCUCAACCGAAGAAGUGCAUCGGAAACUGGGAAACUUGAGUGCAGAAGAGGACAGUGGAACUCCAUGUGUAGCGGUGAAAUGCGUAGAUAUAUGGAAGAACACCAGUGGCGAAGGCGGCUGUCUGGUCUGUAACUGACGCUGAGGCUCGAAAGUAUGGGUAGCAAACAGGAUUAGAUACCCUGGUAGUCCAUACCGUAAACGAUGAAUGCUAAGUGUUGGAGGGUUUCCGCCCUUCAGUGCUGCAGCUAACGCAUUAAGCAUUCCGCCUGGGGGAGUACGGCGCAAGGCUGAAACUCAAAGGAAU
rnacentral:rRNA from 2 species